rnacentral:rRNA from 1 species
AUGAAGCCCAGCUUGCUGGGUGGAUUAGUGGCGAACGGGUGAGUAACACGUGGGUGAUCUGCCCUGCACUUCGGGAUAAGCCUGGGAAACUGGGUCUAAUACCGGAUAGGACCUUCUGCCGCAUGGUGGGGGGUGGAAAGGUUUUCCGGUGCAGGAUGGGCCCGCGGCCUAUCAGCUUGUUGGUGGGGUAACGGCCCACCAAGGCGACGACGGGUAGCCGGCCUGAGAGGGCGACCGGCCACACUGGGACUGAGACACGGCCCAGACUCCUACGGGAGGCAGCAGUGGGGAAUAUUGCACAAUGGGCGCAAGCCUGAUGCAGCGACGCCGCGUGAGGGAUGACGGCCUUCGGGUUGUAAACCUCUUUCAGUACCGACGAAGCGCAAGUGACGGUAGGUACAGAAGAAGCACCGGCCAACUACGUGCCAGCAGCCGCGGUAAUACGUAGGGUGCGAGCGUUGUCCGGAAUUACUGGGCGUAAAGAGCUCGUAGGCGGUUUGUCGCGUCGUCUGUGAAAACCCGCAGCUCAACUGCGGGCUUGCAGGCGAUACGGGCAGACUUGAGUACUGCAGGGGAGACUGGAAUUCCUGGUGUAGCGGUGAAAUGCGCAGAUAUCACGAGGAACACCGGUGGCGAAAGCGGGUCUCUGGGCAGUAACUGACGCUGAGGAGCGAAAGCGUGGGUAGCGAACAG